GGACGAACGCUGGCGGCGUGCUUAACACAUGCAAGUCGAACGAUUAAAGCCCUUUCGGGGGUGUAUAGAGUGGCGUACGGGUGAGUAACACGUGGGUAAUCUACCUUUGGGUGGGGAAUAACUCACGGGAAACUUGAGCUAAUACCCGCGAUAAUGCAGCGGCUCGACAUCGAGACAGUUGUUAAAGAUUUAUCGCCUGAAGAGGAGCCUGCGCCUGAUUAGCUAGUUGGUGGGGUAAUGGCUACCAAGGCUACGAUCAGUAGCUGGUCUGAGAGGACGGCCAGCCACAAUGGCACU
rnacentral:rRNA from 1 species